rnacentral:rRNA from 1 species
UACGUAGGGGGCUAGCGUUGUCCGGAUUUAUUGGGCGUAAAGAGCGUGUAGGCGGCCAGGUAGGUCUGCUGUGAAAACUCGAGGCUCAACCUCGAGACGUCGGCGGAAACCAUCUGGCUAGAGUCCGGAAGAGGAGAGUGGAAUUCCUGGUGUAGCGGUGAAAUGCGCAGAUAUCAGGAGGAACACCGGUGGUGUAAACGGCUUUCUGGACCAUAACUGACGCUGAGGCACGAAAGCGUGGGUAGCAAACAGG